rnacentral:rRNA from 1 species
GACGAACGCUGGCGGCGUGCCUAAUACAUGCAAGUUGAGCGAUGAAGAUUGGUGCUUGCACCAAUUUGAAGAGCAGCGAACGGGUGAGUAACGCGUGGGGAAUCUGCCUUUGAGCGGGGGACAACAUUUGGAAACGAAUGCUAAUACCGCAUAACAACUUUAAACAUAAGUUUUAAGUUUGAAAGAUGCAAUUGCAUCACUCAAAGAUGAUCCCGCGUUGUAUUAGCUAGUUGGUGAGGUAAAGGCUCACCAAGGCGAUGAUACAUAGCCGACCUGAGAGGGUGAUCGGCCACAUGGGGACUGAGACACGGCCCAAACUCCUGCGGGAGGCAGCAGUAGGGAAUCUUCGGCAAUGGACGAAAGUCUGACCGAGCAACGCCGCGUGAGUGAAGAAGGUUGUCGGAUCGUAAAACUCUGUUGGUAGAGAAGAACGUUGGUGAGAGUGGAAAGCUCAUCAAGUGACGGUAACUACCCAGAAAGGGACGGCUAACUACGUG